AGUGAACGCUGGCGGUAGGCCUAACACAUGCAAGUCGAACGGCAGCACAGUAAGAGCUUGCUCUUACGGGUGGCGAGUGGCGGACGGGUGAGGAAUACAUCGGAAUCUACUUUUUCGUGGGGGAUAACGUAGGGAAACUUACGCUAAUACCGCAUACGACCUACGGGUGAAAGCAGGGGAUCUUCGUACCUUGCGCGAUUGAAUGAGCCGAUGUCGGAUUAGCUAGUUGGCGGGGUAAAGGCCCACCAAGGCGACGAUCCGUAGCUGGUCUGAGAGGAUGAUCAGCCACCCUGGAACUGAGACACGGUCCAGACUCCUACGGGAGGCAGCAGUGGGGAAUAUUGGACAAUGGGCGCAAGCCUGAUCCAGCCAUACCGCGUGGGUGAAGAAGGCCUUCGGGUUGUAAAGCCCUUUUGUUGGGAAAGAAAAGCAGCAGGUUAAUACCCCGCUGUUCUGACGGUACCCAAAGAAUAAGCACCGGCUAACUUCAU
rnacentral:rRNA from 1 species